rnacentral:rRNA from 1 species
UACGUAGGGUGCAAGCGUUGUCCGGAAUUAUUGGGCGUAAAGAGCUCGUAGGCGGUCUGUCACGUCGGCUGUGAAAACCCGAGGCUCAACCUCGGGCCUGCAGUCGAUACGGGCAAACUAGAGUACUGCAGGGGAGACUGGAAUUCCUGGUGUAGCGGUGAAAUGCGCAGAUAUCAGGAGGAACACCAGCGGCGAAGGCGGCGCUCUGGGCCGGUACUGACACUGGAGGAGCGAAAGCGUGGGGAUCAAACAGG